rnacentral:rRNA from 1 species
ACCUCAAAUCGGGUGAGACUACCCGCUGAACUUAAGCAUAUCAAAUAAGCGGAGGAA